UAAAUUGCUCCGCCUGCUUUUGAGACGGUAGGUGUAACAUGAAUAAGUCGCUCCUUUUAAGAGUGUGGUCAGUUUUUUUGGAGCGCGGGGACGAGUGGAGAACGGAACAAGGCGGCGGGCCUCGGGGGGUGGCCGUGUAGCGUAGCGUACCGCCGCCGCCGUCACCGGAGCUUGCCCCGCACAAGGGCCCGCGGAACGUAGGUAGAUGUCGCUCCAUGUCUGCUCGGCCCAGUGCGUGUGCGACGGGGAGGGGAGAUAGGAACCAGGAGACGAGGGUGAAGUGAGAGCGGUUGCUCGGUCGGUCGUGACGGGCGACCUUCGUGGCUACUCUAUCGGUUCGACAAGAGGUCGGAUAUGCCGGUCGGCAGGCACGGCACGAUGGCAGCCGACUCGAUCAGUGCUGCUUCGGCGAGUUCUACCCGCAACACGAAGGACCACCGGUCCAAGGUACCCCUGUUAAUUAGCCGCAGAAACCAUUCACGCUCACUAGAGGUCAACAUGCAAGCAAAUCGUGAUCGACUCUGGCUGUCUUCAACUUUUAGCCACAAAUAUUAACUUAAUCUCUCGACACUGAGAGAAAAAGACUACUCUUUAGACUCCUAUUUAGAACAAUCUAAAACAACAAAACGCCACAAAGGACUUAUUAAGGAUAGCAACGAACAGUACCAACCACAACAGCUAGUCUAAUGGACGUCCUCGCACGGUUUCCGUCGUGUGGCACAUACCUAAUUCCCUCCGGGCUGAGCGCAGUACUUCCCGUUGACGUAGCUCGACUGACGACUAAAACACAUGGGGAUGUCUUUGGUCUACGUUCAAAGUUACACGAUACCAAGAAGAUUCAGUACAUUACCGUAGAUGGUGAACUGUUAUACACGACACUGAUUACUUCUACGUGUUCUGGUGUACGUAAGCAUGAUGAAAAUCUCUAAAGACCCCUGAAUGUUCACUCGUCGUAAAACGGAUAAAACCAGGACUAACCGUAGAAGGAUUACUGUGAUAAAAAAUGUUCCCAAUCGAAGAUAACCAAGGAGACAAGCGAAAAAAAGAAGGCUACUCUCCAAGACGUACAAGGGAGUCACUUCGGAAUACAAGAGGGGUUUCUUCGUAAUACAGGGUAUUAUUUAAUGGAUGCAAACUCACGUUCAUUAUAUGUUGUUAAACAUAAAAAAAGGAGGUUGCUCUUAUACACUAACCACAAGUCGAUAAAAAAUAUACGGCUGUUACAAAAAA
rnacentral:rRNA from 1 species